rnacentral:tRNA from 1 species
GCGUUGAUAGUAUAUUAAGUAUGUUGUCUUUCCAAGUCAGAGGUCCUGUUUAAUUAGGUUAGCGUA